rnacentral:lncRNA from 1 species
AAUAUCCAGCACCUGCAAAAUAUUGUGAAGUAUUAGGAACAGUUGUAAUGAAAACUGACUGCAAGCGUCAUAACAACAGAAAAUCAAGUGCUACGGGACUAAGUGUUUUCCAAUUUAUAUCAAGUAUGACAGUGUGUUAAUACAAAAAUGUUGAGGGUGAAAAUGAAAUUUUGAAUCCAGAUGUGCUCCUUCGUCAUUCUGCUAGCAUAAGAGAAAGGAUGUGGUCUACCACAUGUGGCUCAAACACUUCCUCAUCUAGACAAGCUGUCUAAACCAAUGAGUGCUGAGAAUUACACCUUUCCUGGGAUCUAGUCUCCAGUGUUUUUAAUCUUUCUGUGGAGGCAUCAGGGUGUCCAGAUAUCAAGUUGCAGAGCAUCCUCCAGAAGGCAGGAUGUCACCACACCCCCAGAUCACCAUGCAAACUACAUUGGACAAAAGAGGAGUUCAUUUGAAUUAUGUGAAGAGAAGAGGGUGGUCAUUUCUGUGAUCAUCUCACCUUCUUGUGGAAAACCUCUGCAAAAUUUGAGUGUGCAGCCUCCUUCAAUACCACUGCUGAAUUCUGCUUUUGAAUCACUGGGCUGAAUCCAGUGACCAGAUAUUCUGCAAACCCAAGUAACAAAGAGGUGUGGAUACUAACCCAAGAGUGACAUUUAUCUUCAUUAGCACUUUCAGUUGGUUUUAUUAACUACUGAGAAUAAAUAAUUCCCUAUAAUUUUCUUAUACA